GCGCUGGUAGCUCAGUCGGUAGAGCAGUAGCCUUUUAAGCUAAUGGUCGCGGGUUCGAUCCCCGCCCAGCGCA
rnacentral:tRNA from 1 species